GAUGAACGCUGGCGGCGUGCCUAAUACAUGCAAGUCGAGCGAACAGACGAGGAGCUUGCUCCUCUGACGUUAGCGGCGGACGGGUGAGUAACACGUGGAUAACCUACCUAUAAGACUGGGAUAACUUCGGGAAACCGGAGCUAAUACCGGAUAAUAUAUUGAACCGCAUGGUUCAAUAGUGAAAGACGGUUUUGCUGUCACUUAUAGAUGGAUCCGCGCCGCAUUAGCUAGUUGGUAAGGUAACGGCUUACCAAGGCAACGAUGCGUAGCCGACCUGAGCGGGUGAUCGGCCACACUGGAACUGAGACACGGUCCAGACUCCUACGGGGGGCAGCAGUAGGGAAUCUUCCGCAAUGGGCGAAAGCCUGACGGAGCAACGCCGCGUGAGUGAUGAAGGUCUUCGGAUCGUAAAACUCUGUUAUUAGGGAAGAACAAAUGUGUAAGUAACUAUGCACGUCUUGACGGUACCUAAUCAGAAAGCCACGGCUAACUACGUG
rnacentral:rRNA from 1 species